UGCGUAGGGGGCAAGCGUUGUCCGGAUUUAUUGGGCGUAAAGAGCGUGUAGGCGGCUUUACAGGUCCGUUGUGAAAACUCGAGGCUCAACCUCGAGACGCCGGUGGAAACCGUAAAGCUAGAGUCCGGAAGAGGAGAGUGGAAUUCCUGGUGUAGCGGUGAAAUGCGCAGAUAUCAGGAGGAACACCCGUGGCGAAAGCGGCUCUCUGGGACGGUACUGACGCUGAGACGCGAAAGCGUGGGGAGCAAACAGG
rnacentral:rRNA from 1 species